AUGCUCCCUACUCCCGUCGGCCGCGCGUGCUCCCGUGCACUUGCGGCCACACACACUCCCGCGCACCUGUGCGCCACCCGCGCUCCCGCACACCUGUGGCCACGCUCACUCCCCGCACCCCUGUGCCCCACACAGGCUCCCGCACACCUGUGCGCCACCCGCGCUCCCGCCCACCUGUGGUCACCCGCGCUCUCACACACCUGCGCGCCACCCGCACUCCCGCCCACCUGCGGGUCACCCGCGCUCCCGCACCACCUGUGCGCCACCCGCGCUCCCGCACACCUGUGCUCCACCCGCGCUCCCGCCCACCUGUGGCCACCCGCGCUCCCGCACACCUGCGCACCACCCGCGCUCCCGCCCACCUGUGGUCACACGCGCUCCCGCCCACCUGCGCUCCACCUGCGCUCCCGCCCACCUGUGGCCACCCGCGCUCCCGCCCACCUGCGCUCCACCCGCGCUCCCGCCCACCUGUGCUCCACCCGCGCUCCGGUGCCGGCAGAGGUGCGCGGCGGCGCUGGCGGUCUGGGCGGCCGCCUUCUCGGAGGCGUCCCCGCCCGGUGCUGCCGGCACCCAGGACCCCCCACGCCGCAGCCUCCCACCGAGGUGGUCCGCGCUGCUUCCGACGCUUCGCCUCCUCCAUCCCGCGUGGCGCCUGCUCGGCCUCCGGGUCUCGGGCCGCCUCGGGCCCCGCGCAGACGGCACUGCCCGGCCCGGGGCGCCCCGACGACGGCCUCGGCGGGCGCUCAGCAGCCGCGACCCACACGUUCACCGAAACAAACCGAGCGGGCCCCGCGCUGGGGGCGGAGGAGGGUAAAUGGUGCCCCCAAAGAGAGAUCCCUCCCUUCUAACCCCGGGAUCCUGAACCGCGACCGGUUGGUAUACGGGGGGGGGGGGGGCCGUAGCAGGUGUCCUACGGGGAUCUGGACGGGCGGCCGCCGCGGGCGGGGAGAACCCUCAGCCCCGGGCCAGGCGUCCUCACAGGCACCGACGAGGGGAGCCCGGGGACGCGGAGGAGGUGCGCGCUGGGGGCGGGGGGGCGCGCGGCGCAGCCGCAGCCGGGACCGCGGGCCCAGAAGCUUCCAAGGGAGCGUGGCCCUGCCAAGACCUCGAUCUCUGCCUGCUAAUACAAUUUGGGAUUUCCGGCCUCCAGCGCCACCCCAGGGAGCCGGAUGGAGGCUGGUAGCGAAAGCGGCUCGCAGGCGCCCCGGGGCCGGCGGCGGAGGAGGCGCGUCCCGGGGUCCCUCUCGGCUGCGGUCUCCCGCGCCCCCUCCCGGCGCGCACACAGAAGUGCGCCCCUCCCGCCCCAGAGCGGUUGGAGGCCUGGGGUGCGCUUGGGAGAAGGGGCAUCUCUAUCCCCUCCCUGCUGGUAGGGGAUCCCCGGGGGCUCAGCGGUUUGGCGCCUGCCUGGGGCCCAGGGCCUGA
rnacentral:lncRNA from 12 species